UCGACGGCAGCGGGAAGAAGCUUGCUUUCUUUGCCGGCGAGUGGCGAACGGGUGAGUAAUGUAUCGGAACGUGCCCAGUAGCGGGGGACAACUGGCCGAAAGGUCAGCUAAUACCGCUUACGCCCUACGGGGGAAAGGGGGGGACUCUUCGGAGCCUCUCACUAUUGGAGCGGCCGAUAUCGGAUUAGCUAGUUGGUGGGGUAAUGGCUCACCAAGGCAACGAUCCGUAGCUGGUUUGAGAGGACGACCAGCCACACUGGGACUGAGACACGGCCCAGACUCCUACGGGAGGCAGCAGUGGGGAAUUUUGGACAAUGGGGGGAACCCUGAUCCAGCCAUCCCGCGUGUGCGAUGAAAGGCUUUCGGGUUUGUAAAGCACUUUUGUCAGGGGAAGAAAGGUUUCUGGGCUA
rnacentral:rRNA from 1 species